UACAGAGGGUGCGAGCGUUGUUCGGAAUUAUUGGGCGUAAAGCGCAUGUAGGCGGUCUGUUAAGUCGCGUGUGAAAGCUCCAGGCUCAACCUGGAAAGUGCGCGCGAAACUGGCGGACUUGAGUGCCGGAGAGGGUGGCGGAAUUCCCGGUGUAGAGGUGAAAUUCGUAGAUAUCGGGAGGAACACCAGAGGCGAAGGCGGCCACCUGGACGGACACUGACGCUGAGA
rnacentral:rRNA from 1 species